AAAGAUGAAAUCAUUAUUGAUGUUUCAUUUACGAUGAAAAUUUGCUGUUUUGCCAUCUUUA
rnacentral:tRNA from 1 species